rnacentral:rRNA from 1 species
GAUGAACGCUAGCGACAGGCCUAACACAUGCAAGUCGAGGGGCAGCACAUGAGUAGCAAUACGAUGGUGGCGACCGGCGCACGGGUGAGUAUCGCGUAUGCAACCUACCUUCCACAGGGGGAUAGCCUUCCGAAAGGGAGAUUAAUACCGCAUAAAACAGGGGCCCCGCAUGGGGAUAUUUGUUAAAGAUUUAUCGGUGGGAGAUGGGCAUGCGUUCCAUUAGCUAGUUGGCGGGGUAAUGGCCCACCAAGGCAUCGAUGGAUAGGGGAACUGGGAGGUUUAUCCCCAACGAUGGAACUGAGACACGGUCCAGACUCCUACGGGAGGCAGCAGUGAGGAAUAUUGGUCAAUGGGCGGGAGCCUGAACCAGCCAAGUCGCGUGAAGGAAGACGGUUCUAUGGAUUGUAAACUUCUUUUGCACUGGGGUAAAACGGGGGACGUGUCCCCCCUUGCAAGUACAGUGCGAAUAAGCAUCGGCUAACUCCGUGCCAGCAGCCGCCGUAA